AUAUUAUUUUGGGGGUGUUGGGCACCAACAGAGCCCAUUGAAUCCACAUGACUCGGCCGAUAGGGGAGCACACAUGUCACCAUACCCGCUGUCCAGGAAUCAGAGGAGGAGGUGCCCUGGGGUGAAGCCUGGGCCACAGCCCCGGUUAGCAGCUCUGCAGACAUCUUACCUUGGAAACAGCACAGCUUGGCUUCCGUGUCAUCGCUGAGUUCAGAGAAUCCUAGUUUCACCGUGUCCUCAGUAGAGACCAGAGAACCAGAUGGAAAUGAAGGAUGAUCUCUGUGUUCUGUUUUCAGUUAUGUAGGAGUCCAGAAUAAGGAUCCCAUCCAGGAUUCCAUACUUCAGUCUUCAGGUCUCCUUCGGCUCUCCGUGCCUGUGUCAGUUUCUUACAGACUUUUC